AACGUAGGAGACGAGCGUUAUCCGGAUUUACUGGGUGUAAAGGGUGCGCAGGCGGGACUGCAAGUUGGAUGUGAAAUACCGGAGCUUAACUCCGGAACUGCAACCAAAACUGUAGUUCUUGAGUGGAGUAGAGGUAAGCGGAAUUCCGAGUGUAGCGGUGAAAUGCGUAGAUAUUCGGAGAAACACCAGUGGCGAAGGCGGCUUACUGGGCUCUAACUGACGCUGAGGCACGAAAGUGUGGGUAGCAAAC
rnacentral:rRNA from 1 species